GGGAGGGAGGUGCAGAUUUGCACGGCUGGCCUCAGCGGGAGGCGCGGAAAUGCAAAACGAGCUUGCUGGCGUGAAAGCCCCCAGGGCCUGGCACCCCCAAAAACGACCUCCCACCUCAAUCCCUGCCCCCCAUUGCCCAUGGCCCCGACGGGCUACCCCUCUUCCUCUUCCUUCAUCCACCCCACCCCACUACCUACGUGGCCAACCCAAAUUCAAAGCAUUUUGAAUGUAUAUAAUUUUUUCUUUUCUGCUACGUCUUUUUUUGGGGGGGAAUCCUCUUCAGACCCCCAUAAACGGACCUGCCAUUUGGAGGAGGUAUCUGGGGGCUCAGGAAGAAAUUAGCGCACCUUCAUACCUGUACGGACUGCAUAACUUUUAAACUCCCGGACUCAGAGAGAAGGAUCCACAAACACACAGGUACAGGAAAUACAGCCAGACCAGAGCCUUUUCAGACCCGAGCUGACCGGAAGACGUUGCCUUUCAUUCAUUCAUUCUGCCCGCGUCUGUGGAGUCCUUUACUAGGCGACAAGCGCUGGAACAGAAGUUGGACAUUUUUUAGAGGUCCCUGCGCUCGCCAGGAGGAGGAAAUAGAUGCUCAGGAGUGAACUACCGAGAGAAUCGGAUCUGGCGCCUCCUAACGCAGCUGGCAAACAGGCGAAGGCACGUGUUCAUGGCUGAGAGCAGGCCUUUCAUCCUGGUGAGGCUAGGAUGUUCUGAAAUGAGAUGAACCAUUGGAUUUAAUCUCCAGCCUGAAGAGGGAAGUCUCUGAGACCACUUGCAAAUUCAGAGGUGAGUUGACCUUAGCACAAAACCCUUUCUCAUCCAGAACAUUUCUCACAAUUGUAAUAAAAUAGUCAUGUAUUAA